CACGUAGGGGGCGAGCGUUGUCCGGAUUCAUUGGGCGUAAAGGGCGCGCAGGCGGCCCGGAAAGUCGGAUGUGAAACUCGAGGCUCAACCUCGAGCGUGCACCCGAUACUGCCGGGCUUGAGGCAGGUGAGGGGAGAGUCGGAAUUCCUGGUGUAGCGGUGAAAUGCGCAGAUAUCAGGAGGAACACCGGUGGCGAAGGCGGAUCUCUGGGCCUGUCCUGACGCUGAGGCGCGAAAGCUAGGGGAGCGAACAGG
rnacentral:rRNA from 1 species